AGGUAGCAGGCUCACUGGGAGAGGUGCUGUCGAGGAAAUGUGUGGCACUGUUGAAAAUGGCCUUGAGACAGGAUGUAUGGCUUGGUUUGAUAAGCUGUAGAAAGUCAGCAGCCAGAUUUCAACAACAUAUAUACAGCCUCAAAGUUAUUUUGCUUCCUUCUAACUAUACUGAUAUGAGACUACUUCUGUUCCAAUGGCUGUGAGCAUGAAACAACAUGGCUUUGUGAUGAAGACCCCUUCCAUGAAUCAAUCAACCACAUGUAUAUCUUAAAUUAAAGUUAGUGAGACAAUGAUUGGUUAUCCCCAUCCAGAAAUGGAACAACUACUGCGGAAGUUCUUAGGGAAGUGUGUACAGACCAAAGUUAUCUCAUCUGCCAGAACAAUCACUGAAGUCCCUUUCGAAGGAAAAUCAACAUCCAGAGGAGUAUCUAGGUCUGCAUAUAGGUACUCCU